CUUGCUCAGCCUCGGAUAGAUCUUCUCCUCCAGGUACUCGUUCACCACCUCGGCGCUCAGGAACCGAGCUAAUGACCAAACGCCAAUCAACACCAACAGUUAAUAUGUCUCUCGCUCGCGUUAAUAGCGAAUAAUUGAAGAUGCAUGCCGUGAAUUACAACCUGAAUUCGACCAAGCGCCGGAACUAGACGAGGGGGAUCUUUUACCUGGGAAGAACUUCCCGACGAUGCGGAGGAUCUUGCGGCCGCGCUUGUCCCGGCCAUUGAUCUUGAAGAUCUGGAGCUUCUCGAUCAGCUGUUCUUGCUCGGCCCGAGACAGGACCGCGCACAUCGUUGCUUCUCUGCUGCUUGGACUUCUUGGGCUAUGUGGGAAGUGAAUUUGAGCGCUAGGCGAACAGUGCGAGGAGCGGCUGGUGCAUUCAUACGCGAGACGACAAGUGCGAGAGAUGUGAUCAUGGAGAGAGAGAGAGAGAGAGAGAGAGAGAGGACUUGUCGGAGCAGACAGGAAUAUGCGAAAGCAUCUUCCUUUUUCUGGGUCGACUGUGGCCAGUGCGAUUCGGUCGCUGUUGAUGUGCUCUGCCGUCGUGUUCCGCGGCGCGAUCUCGGUGAUCGUCCAUCAUUGGCCGAGUCAGGUGGGGGCGCAUCGUCGUCCGUGAACACCACUUCGCAAAGGAUGCAUCCACGUGAAUGAACGAUUAUGUACGUACAUCCAUACAUACAUAUACGUAUUUAUAAAAAUAAUUGAGGGUAAUUAUGGUUCGGCAAUUUUAUCAACUUUAAUCCCGUAGUUUUAGGACUAAUUGAAGUUGAGAAGGAAAGCAGAGAUGGAGAAAAGUGUUUGGGCUCUUA